rnacentral:rRNA from 1 species
UACAGAGGUCCCAAGCGUUGUUCGGAUUCACUGGGCGUAAAGGGUGCGUAGGUGGUUGGGUAAGUCUGAUGUGAAAUCUCCGGGCUCAACCCGGAAAUGGCAUUGGAUACUAUUCGGCUAGAGGUUUGGAGGGGGGACUGGAAUUCUCGGCGUAGCAGUGAAAUGCGUAGAUAUCGAGAGGAACACCAGUGGCGAAGGCGAGUCCCUGGACAACACCUGACACUGAGGCACGAAAGCUAGGGGAGCAAACAGG